GAGCAAAAUACAGAGCAGAUGAAGAGAUACAGGUCCGUCGGAAUGUAUUACUGCCUAGGACAGAGAGCUGUAGCUCGCGGGGCCUCAUUGUUCGGGAACACCACGUAACAAAAAGAAAAGCCGUGCACUGAGGAGCUGCUGUGUCUGCAAGGGAUCUCUUCAAAACAGAAACCAAACAAAAUUGAGCAAACCCAACAAUGUACUCUGCAGCCAACAAUGGCCGCUGC